AAAUCCCAAGUUGACGGUCAAGUCCAACGCUCGCCGCAGACAUCUAGUGGACCCGGCGCUCACGGACGGAAGUGGACAGACCCAGUUGGAUCUUUAUCACACCAAGCUGGCCCACCUUUGCUGCCAUCUAACUCCGCUGACCAGCCCACCGUUCCUCCACUGUCCGCUGGUUGACCCGGGCAGCGGAGAGAGGAG
rnacentral:antisense_RNA from 1 species